UAGAUGAUCAGUGAGAUUCUGCCCAUUUCCUACCUGAUCAAACCGAAGGUACAAGAUUCAGGAUUCUUCUCGGCAGAAACAUGUGUCCCACUAAUCUGUUUAGAACUGUGAUAUGAAUUAUGAUUCUUCUCUCUCUAUGUAUAUAUACAUCCAUAUGAACAACAUCUGAAGAGAGAGAGAGAGAGAGACAGGGGCUGGAGUGGAGUUGUUGGGGGAGAAGUGGGGUAGAUCUGGUAUUGUUUGGAACUUGGAUUGUAAAUUAUUUUCAAAAAUAUAAAAUUGCAGUAAAAGAAAGAGGAUGAAAGUAGGAGGAG
rnacentral:lncRNA from 1 species